GAAAAAAAAAAACUUUACUGAGUCUGAAAUUGAGGUCCUGCUGGCGGAGGUAGAGGUUCGUGCGGGGACACUUUUUGGAAGUCUCUCCAGUGGGAUUUCACACAAAACAAAAUUCGUGGCAUGGCAGUGUGUAGCGCAGGCUGUGAACGAGAAGCAAUGUGCAGGCCACAGGAGGUGGAAGUGGCACUGUAUCCCUCACACCGGAGGACAACCGAAUAGCUGCCAUCAUGGGUGAGACUUCUGUUGUUGGCAUUUGUGCAGAAGGUGAUACAGAUAUUUUGUCUGCACCAGCUUCAGAAGAUGAUGAACAUUUACAAAGGAAAACAGCCCCUAGUAGGUCUGUCUCCCAAACUGCGACAGCAUCAAGUAACACUCCCGUUCAAGAGGAAUC